GAUGAACGCUGGCGGCGUGCCUAAUACAUGCAAGUCGAGCGAACAGAUGAGGAGCUUGCUCCUCUGACGUUAGCGGCGGACGGGUGAGUAACACGUGGAUAACCUACCUAUAAGACUGGGAUAACUUCGGGAAACCGGAGCUAAUACCGGAUAAUAUAUUGAACCGCAUGGUUCAAUAGUGAAAGACGGUUUUGCUGUCUCUUAUAGAUGGAUCCGCGCCGCAUUAGCUAGUUGGUAAGGUAACGGCUUACCAAGGCAACGAUGCGUAGCCGACCUGAGAGGAUGAUCGGCCACACUGGAACUGAGACACGGUCCAGACUCCUACGGGAGGCAGCAGUAGGGAAUCUUCCGCAAUGGGCGAAAGCUUGACGGAGCAACGCCGCGUGAGUGAUGAAGGUCUUCGGAUCGUAAAACUCUGUUAUUAGGGAAGAACAAAUGUGUAAGUAACUAUGCACGUCUUGACGGUACCUAAUCAGAAAGCCACGGCUAACUACGUG
rnacentral:rRNA from 1 species